AUCCUCUCGGCAGUACAUAUACUAAAAGUGGAAGACUAUGAGGAUGAUGAGCAUGGCCCCUGUGCAAAGAGGACAUACAAAUUUCAGACGUGUUCUUUAUUUUA